rnacentral:rRNA from 1 species
AACGAACGCUGGCGGCAUGCCUAACACAUGCAAGUCGAACGAGACCUUCGGGUCUAGUGGCGCACGGGUGCGUAACGCGUGGGAACCUGCCCUUAGGGUCGGAAUAACUCCCCGAAAGGGGUGCUAAUACCGGAUAAGGUCUUCGGACCAAAGAUUUAUUGCCUUUGGAUGGGCCCGCGUGGGAUUAGCUAGUUGGUAGGGUAAAAGCCUACCAAGGCGACGAUCCAUAGCUGGUCUGAGAGGAUGAUCAGCCACACUGGGACUGAGACACGGCCCAGACUCCUACGGGAAGCAGCAGUGGGGAAUAUUGGACAAUGGGCGAAAGCCUGAUCCAGCAAUGCCGCGUGAGUGAUGAAGGCCUUAGGGUUGUAAAGCUCUUUUACCCGGGAUGAUAAUGACAGUACCGGGAGAAUAAGCUCCGGCUAACUCCGUG